AUUGAACGCUGGCGGCAUGCUUUACACAUGCAAGUCGAACGGCAGCGCGGGCUUCGGCCUGGCGGCGAGUGGCGAACGGGUGAGUAAUACAUCGGAACGUGCCCAGUAGUGGGGGAUAGCUCGGCGAAAGCCGGAUUAAUACCGCAUACGACCUGAGGGUGAAAGCGGGGGAUCUUCGGACCUCGCGCUAUUGGAGCGGCCGAUGGCAGAUUAGUUAGUUGGUGGGGUAAAGGCCUACCAAGGCGACGAUCUGUAGCUGGUCUGAGAGGACGACCAGCCACACUGGGACUGAGACACGGCCCAGACUCCUACGGGAGGCAGCAGUGGGGAAUUUUGGACAAUGGGCGAAAGCCUGAUCCAGCAAUGCCGCGUGUGUGAUGAAGGCCUUCGGGUUGUAAAGCACUUUUGGCGGGAACGAAAAGGACUGUGCCAAUACCACGGUUCGAUGACGGUACCCGCAGAAUAAGCACCGGCUAACUACGUG
rnacentral:rRNA from 1 species